rnacentral:rRNA from 1 species
GUCUACGGCCAUACCACCCUGAACGUGCCCGAUCUCGUCUGAUCUCGGAAGCUAAGCAGGGUUAGUACUUGGAUGGGAGAAAUCCAGAUAUCCCCCAGGCAGUCCUGGAAACACCUGUAAGCCGCACAGU